UACGAAGGGGGCUAGCGUUGUUCGGAUUUACUGGGCGUAAAGCGCGUGUAGGCGGGCCGGUAAGUUGGGGGUGAAAUCCCGAGGCUCAACCUCGGAACUGCCUCCAAAACUGUCGGUCUGGAGCAAGAUAGAGGCGAGUGGAAUUGCGAGUGUAGAGGUGAAAUUCGUAGAUAUUCGCAGGAACACCAGUGGCGAAGGCGACUCGCUGGAUCUUUGCUGACGCUGAGACGCGAAAGCGUGGGGAGCAAACAGG
rnacentral:rRNA from 1 species